GCGUUAGAGCUUAAGAAGAUCACAGGGAGGAGUCUGAGGUCCAGGAAUCUGCCUCUUUGAACAGUACUCCUAUUUGGACCACACUGGCCUUGAGCAGAAUGGUAAAUCAGAAAAAAAAUUAGACCUUAGAGUUAAGAUAUGAUUUUAACUCCCAUUCAUGUAUUAAUUCAAAAAGUAUUUUGAGAGCCAGACACUGUGCUGGGUGCUGCAGAGAUAGCAAAAGAGGAUUCAUAUUACCGUCUUCAAGAGCUUUAUAGUUGGGGAGAGGCAGGUAAACAGGCAGGUGUGAUGCCGUGGACAUGUGCUGUGAGAAGGGAUGGGGAGGGUAUUCUGGGGACCCAGGGAAGGGGAUCCCUAACAACACCUGGGAGGUCAGAAAGGCUUCCCAAGAAAGGGAGAAUGAGACUGUGAGCCGAUGGAGGAGUUCACCUGGAGAGCAACUCAGUGGGCCAGUGGAGUGCAUGCGGGCAUGGCUGCUGAGUCUUCCAGGGAGAAAGGAGCCUGACUGCUUAAGCACCCCUCCAGGCAGGAUGGACAGCGGCUCCAAAUAUCUAACAGAUGUCGUGCUGUACCUCAGGAUGAAUCUAUUAUUGAUUCGGAACUCUUGCUCGGGUAACUUUUUGCCAGGUUUCCUUUCACACUUGUGAUGAGGAAACGGAUUGAACAUCAGUAAGGGGACAAGACAAUAACAAUAAACAGACAUGGUUUAGAGCAAGACAGAAAUAACAAAAACAAUCCCUGGCCCCCUGACAGUCGGUCUCCUUCCAGCGCCAGGUUGCAAAUCACUUUGUUUCCUUCUCCCUGAGCUCACACACAUUCAGAUACAGGAUCUGAAAACUUGCCCAAUUUGAGUUCUUGUUCAGGAAAUAUUUGGAUAAGAGAGACAGGACUAAAGAAAUUCAGAGUCAUCUUGGAGGAAGUUAUCAAAAGAGAUGGGCGUGUUAGGCCUGGAAAGUGAAAAGGACGACUUAAUUCUCCAUUCCUGUCUAAUCAGAAUCAUUUGUAGCCUCAGAAGCAGAUCCUGAUUGCAGUGGACGCCAAAGGCAUAUUUUCCAUGUUCAAAGCAGAAUCCAUCAUAUUCUCCCCCUCCUUCCAAGCCUGCAGUCUCUCAUCCAAUUUACCUAAUACAUCACUGUCAUGUUCAUUUUUCUAAAGCUCUUUCCUCUCAACUGCCUUAGAUAGUUUCAGGAAGUUGGUGUGAUAAAAAUAUAUGAAUUAGUUUAUCUAACUGUUAUGUAAUGAGUGCCAGCAUUAAGGCUACAGAGAGCAAUAAGAAACGGUGCUGCCCAAUGUAGCCGGAAGAUGGUAAUAUAAAUGGACACACAAAACAGUGACAAGUGGAGUCAAAUGGAGCUAUGGAGAAGAAGAGAGGGUAUUAACUCAAUGGAGGGAGGGGGCAAGGCUAGGGAUUAUCAGGGAAGGCUUCAUGGAGGAGGUGACAUUUGAGCUGAAUUUCCAAGGCUGAAUAAUAUUUUUCCAGGCAGACAAGGAGACUACUCACACACAGGUAUGGGGGUGUGAGAAAUCAUGACAUUUAAUGCAACAGUGAGGAAUUCCAGGUCAAAGCACAGGGACCACAGGGGAUGUGUGUUGAGGGGGUUACCUGGUAGGCAGAUAGGUAAAAUUUUAAAGAUGACAAUCCUGAUAUACCAUACUAAAGCCUUGGACAUUCUUCUAUGGGAGAGAGGAUUUUAUUGAUGGAUUUUAAGCUACGGAACCAUGCAAUCAUAUUUCUAAUUAAGACUCAUGUCUUGUGGGCUGGGAAGGAGACAGCAAGCCUGGUGGGGGCUGUGCUGUUUGGAGGCAGCACUGACAUGGGGUACUAGGGAAAAAGUGCUGUAGUAAGAGUCCAAGGGGGAAUUGAUAAGGAUUGGGGAGCAAUUUCAAUGUAAAAGGUUGAAUAAUGAUAAAUAAUAAAUUAAUGUAGGCCACUAACUUGCUUGAAAACAAAACAAAACAAAACCUUCAGUGGUUUCUCAUGACUUAACCAAAUUAAGCUGAAAGUAUUUAGCCUGAUAUUCAACACCCUUAAGAAUUUGGGUCCGGUCCAUCUUUCCAAUUCCACUUCUCAGUGUUCCUCUGCUGGGAGAAGAAGUGGAGGAAUGCUCGUUGCUUUCUCUGUGUUUUCCUGAUUCCCUGUCAUUUCUCAGGCUCUUCGCUCUGCAGUGACAACGCUUCCAACCCUUCUCGUCCAAAGCCUCCCAGGGGCCCACCAAUCCACGCUCCUUUGUCAUCUCCCUGACCGAAUAGAAUCUCUCCCUUCUUGGAGAUUUCAUAGGAACAUGAGUUUAUCUCCCUUAUUUCACGUAUUUCUUUGGUGCUUUGUAUUGGCUUAAUAGUUUUCUCUUUCUUCCAAUGCAUUUAUCAACUAAGAUGUAAUCUUAGUACUAGGACUUUCUUAUUCAUAUUUUUAUCCCCUUGCACGUCUCACUCCUAGAACUUUGUACAAAACACUUAUUUUUUUUUCAAAUUUAAGAUUUUUAUUACAGCUGAAUUUCCUCAGUUUCGUGAAGUAAAGUGGAGAAUUAGAACAUUUAGGCAGAUAAUUCAAGUCAAAGUAUCUAUUUGGCCAUGAUACCUGGCCAUUGCUAAAUGAAAUCUCAUGACAAUAUUAAUUUAGACAAGAUUCACUAAUUGAGUAAAGAAAAACAUAUAUAAAGUUUUUAUACCCCCAAAUAUCAUAUUCAUCAAUAAAUCCUGGUUAUGUUUGGCACAUCACAAAGAGACCAAUGAAUCAUAAAGAUAUUAUUGAUAAGAUUCUAUAAGCUCAUAUCCUGCUAUUAAUUUUUUAUACCAAAUUCUUAUUGGCUUUAAUGAGAGUUCUGAUUUUUUUUUCAACAGACAACCACAUAAAAGAAGUUUUAAAUAAAUUUGUUUUCAGUUCUAUAGUGAAGUAUAUGUAGGUUCAAGUGGAGAAAAUUGCUUUGGGACAUAUUUAUAGACCAUAUGUAUUUAUUCAUCUAGGGAUAUUUGAGUAAAAACUCCCCUCAAAGACCACAAA
rnacentral:lncRNA from 10 species